ACCUGACUGGCUCAGUCAGUGGAGCAUGUGACUCUUGAUGUUGGGGUUGUGGGUUCAAGUCCUAUGUUGGGUG
rnacentral:tRNA from 1 species